CAGCCGCCGCGGUAAUACAGAGGGUGCGAGCGUUAAUCGGAUUUACUGGGCGUAAAGCGUGCGUAGGCGGCUAAUUGAGUCGGAUGUGAAAUCCCCGAGCUUAACUUGGGAAUUGCAUUCGAUACUGGUUAGCUAGAGUGUGGGAGAGGAUGGUAGAAUUCCAGGUGUAGCGGUGAAAUGCGUAGAGAUCUGGAGGAAUACCGAUGGCGAAGGCAGCCAUCUGGCCUAAUACUGACGCUGAGGUACGAAAGCAUGGGGAGCAAACAGGAUUAGAUACCCGGGUAGUCCCUGUCUCUUAUAC
rnacentral:rRNA from 1 species